rnacentral:rRNA from 1 species
CCUACGGGUGGCAGCAGUGAGGAAUAUUGGUCAAUGGGCGCGAGCCUGAACCAGCCAAGUAGCGUGAAGGAUGACUGCCCUACGGGUUGUAAACUUCUUUUAUAAAGGAAUAUAGUGAGGCACGUGUGCCUUUUUGUCUGUACUUUAUGAAUAAGGAUCGGCUAACUCCGUGCCAGCAGCCACGGUAAUACGGAGGAUCCGAGCGUUAUCCGGAGUUAAUGGGGUUAAAGGGAGCGCAGAUGGGUUGUUAAGUCAGUUGUGAAAGUUUGCGGCUCAACCGUAAGAUUGCAAUUGAUACUGGCAUUCUUGAGUACAGUUGAGGUAGGCGGAAUUCGUGGUGUAGCGGUGAAAUGCUUAGAUAUCACGAAGAACUCCGAUUGCGAAGGCAGCUUACUAAACUGCCACUGACAUUGAUGCUCGAAAGUGUGGGUAUCAAACAGGAUUAGAUACCCCAGUAGUC